ACGCUCGACACCUACGGGAGGCAGCAGUAGGGAAUCUUCCACAAUGGACGCAAGUCUGAUGGAGCAACGCCGCGUGAGUGAAGAAGGUUUUCGGAUCGUAAAGCUCUGUUGUUGGUGAAGAAGGAUAGAGGUAGUAACUGGCCUUUAUUUGACGGUAAUCAACCAGAAAGUCACGGCUAACUACGUGUCAGCAGCCGCGGUAAUCUGAGCGGGCUGGCAAGGC
rnacentral:rRNA from 1 species